UACGAAGGGGGCGAGUGUUGUUCGGAAUUACUGGGCGUAAAGCGCACGCAGGCGGUCUUUUAAGUUUGACGUGAAAGCUCCCGGCUUAACUGGGAGAGGUCGUUGAAUACUGGAAGACUUGAGGAAAUGAGAGGGGUGUAGAAUUCCUGGUGUAGUGGUGGAAUGCGUAGAUAUCGAGAGGAACACCAGUGGCGAAGGCGAGUCCCUAGACAGGUCCUGACGCUGAGGCACGAAAGCUAGGGGAGCAAACAGG
rnacentral:rRNA from 1 species